AGGUAUAGCUCAGCUGGUAGAGCACCUGCUUGACGUGCAGGGGGUCAUAGGUUCGAGUCCUAUUAUCUUC
rnacentral:tRNA from 1 species